UAUGUGAUCGUCUCUCGCAUAUCAAUAAGCGGAGGAAAAGAAACUAACAAGGAUUCCCCUAGUAACGGCGAGUGAAGCGGGAAGAGCUCAAAUUUGAAAUCUUAAAGGGUUUCCCUUUACGAAUUGUAGUUUAAAGAAGUGUUUUCUGUUGAGGUUUUGGUAAAAGUUCUUUGGAAUAGGACAUCAUAGAGGGUGAGAAUCCCGUAUUUGACCUUUACUUUCAACUUUGUGAUACACUUUCAAAGAGUCGGAUUGUUUGGGAAUGCAGUCCAAAAUGGGUGGUAAAUUUCAUCUAAAGCUAAAUAUUGGCGAGAGACCGAUAGCGAACAAGUACCGUGAGGGAAAGAUGAAAAGAACUUUGAAAAGAGAGUUAAACAGUACGUGAAAUUGUCAAAAGGGAAGCGUUUGACACCAGUGUUGUUUUUCUGAAAAUCAAUUAAAGAACUGUUUAUGCUAAGUUGUUUAGACUUUAUCAGCUAACUGUUUAGUUUUGAGCUUUUCUUUAAUGCACUUUUCAGUUAACAAGUCAACAUCAAUUUCUUUUGCUGUAAAAAAGCUUGAGGAAGGUGGCUUGAGAUUCGUCUUAAGUGUUUAUAGCCUCUUGCCUAUGCAGUCGGAGAGAUUGAGGUCUGCAGGCGUAGAUCCUUCGGGGCUAAAUGCAUUCGUGCUAAGUUAUAGCAUUUUAUAGACAACUUGUUGACUAUGAUUUGUCUUGUAGCUUACUCGCUUAUGUUAUUUUACCUACGCUUAGGAUGUUGACUGAUAUGUAGUCGUA
rnacentral:rRNA from 1 species